UACGGGAGGCAGCAGUGGGGAAUAUUGCACAAUGGGCGCAAGCCUGAUGCAGCCAUGCCGCGUGUAUGAAAAAGGCCUUCGGGUUGUAAAGUACUUUCAGUCGUGAGGAAGGUGUUAAGGUUAAUAACCUUAGCAAUUGACGUUAGCGACAGAAGAAGCACCGGCUAACUCCGUGCCAGCAGCCGCGGUAAUCGGAGGGUGCGAGCGUUAAUCGGAAUUACUGGGCGUAAAGGGCACGCAGGCGGUUAAUUAAGUUGGAUGUGAAAUCCCCGGGCUUAACCUGGGAAUGGCAUUCAAGACUGGUUAGCUAGAGUCUUGUAGAGGGGGUAGAAUUCCAUGUGUAGCGGUGAAAUGCGUAGAGAUGUGGAGGAAUACCGGUGGCGAAGGCGGCCCCUGGACAAAGGACUGACGCUCAUGUGCGAAAGCGUGGGGAGCAAACAGGGAUUAGAUACC
rnacentral:rRNA from 1 species